rnacentral:rRNA from 1 species
CGACGGGUGAGUAACGCGUGAGCAACCUACCCGGAAGACCGGGAUAACACUGGGAAACCGGGCUAAUACCGGAUACGCUUCCUCCGGGGCAUCCCGGGGGAAGGAAAGGGGGCCUCUGGAGGAAACCUUCACGCUCCCGCUUCCGGAUGGGCUCGCGGCCCAUUAGCUAGUUGGUGGGGAACGGCCUACCAAGGCGACGAUGGGUAGCCGGCCUGAGAGGGUGGUCGGCCACACUGGGCUGAGACACGGCCCAGACUCCUACGGGAGGCAGCAGUGGGGAAUCUUGCGCAAUGGGCGAAGCCUGACGCAGCGACGCCGCGUGGGGGAAGAAGGCCUUCGGGUCGUAAACCCCUGUUUAGGGGAAGAAGUCCUGCCCCCGAACAAGGGGCAGGGUGACGGUACCCUACCAGAAAGCCCGGCUAACUACGUGCCAGCAGCCGCGGUAAAACGUAGGGGGCGAGCGUUGUCCGGAAUACUGGGCGUAAAGCGCUCGUAGGCGGUGGCUCAAGUCAGGUGUGAAAUCCGACGGCUCACCGGAGGACUGCACCUGAUACUGGGCCACUUGAGGGAGGGAGAGGAAGGUGGAAUUCCCGUGUAGCGGUGAAAUGCGUAGAUAUCGGGAGGAACACCAGUGGCGAAGGCGGCCUUCUGCCCUUCCCUGACGCUGAGGAGCGAAAGCUAGGGGAGCGAAAGGGAUUAGAUACCCCGUAUC